rnacentral:sRNA from 1 species
UGACUCUUUUCUGUUCUGGCUCGCGGAUA